rnacentral:misc_RNA from 1 species
GAUGAAGAACGCAGCGAAAUGCGAUAAGUAAUGUGAAUUGCAGAAUUCAGUGAAUCAUCGAAUCUUUGAACGCACCUUGCGCUCUUUGGUAUUCCGAAGAGCAUGCCUGUUUGAGUGUCAUGAAACUCUCAACUCCCAACUUUCUUAAUAGUCGGUUGGGAGCUUGGACUUGAGCGUUGCUGGUCUUCAUUGACCGGCUCGCUUGAAAUGAAUUAGCAGAUCCUUUUUGUAAUCGGUUCCACUCGACGUGAUAAGUAUUUCGCCGAGGACAUCUUAACGGAUGGCCGAGAUAAAGAAAGUCUUUAGCUCCGCUUCUAAUUCUUAGAUAGAGCUUGCUCUACUAAACCCCUUUUAUGAUCUGGCCUCAAAUCAGGUAGGACUACCCGCUGAACUUAAGCAUAUCAAUAAGCGGAGGA